rnacentral:rRNA from 1 species
AACCCUAUGUUUACAAGCAGACAAAGCACGUUAAGGUGCGAUGUCGUACUUUUUGUAGAACGGUCCGGCGAGUUAUUUUAUAUGGCAAGGUUAAGUACUGAAGGUACGAAGCCGAAGGGAAACCGAGUGUUAAUAGCGCGUAUAAGUCAUAUGAAAUAGACCCGAAACCGAGUGACCUAACCAUGUCCAGGAUGAAGCUUGAGUAAAAUCAAGUGGAGGUCCGAACUCAUAGACGUUAAAAAGUCUCGGGAUGAGGUGUGGUUAGCGGAGAAAUUCCAAUCGAACUCGGAGAUAGCUGGUUCUCCUCGAAAUAGUUUUAGGACUAGCCUUGAGAGAAUAAUGCGCGGGGGUAGAGCACUGAAUGAGCUAGGGGUCAAACCUGAUUACCGAACUCUAUCAAACUCCGAAUACCGUGUAGAGGAAACUCAGGAGUCAGACUGCGGGAGCUAAGUUCCGUGGUCAAAAGGGAAAGAGCCCAGAUCGUCAAAUAAGGUCCCAAAGAUAUAGUUAAGUGGAAAACGAUGUGAUUUUGCGUAAACAACCAGGAUGUUGGCUCAGAAGCAGCCACCCAUUUAAAGAGUGCGUAAUAGCUCACUGGUCGAGUGAAGUUGCGCGGAAAAUUACCGGGGCUAAACUAUACACCGAAUUUGCGGAUUUGUUACUUGAAAGAUAGUAAUAAGUGGUAGAGGAGCAUUCUAAGAGGACGAAGCAUAACUGAAAGGAUAUGUGGACGAAAUAGAAGAGAGAAUGCCGGAAUAAGUAGCGAAAGCAUAGUGAGAAUCUAUGCCAUCGAAAGUCUAAGGUUUCCUGGGGAAGGUUCGUCCGCCCAGGGUAAGUCGGGACCUAAGGAGAGGCCGAAAAGCGUAUCCGAUGGACAGCAGGUAGAGAUUCCUGCACUACGAUAUAUUUAGAAACUAUAACUGACACAGGAAUGGAAGGUAAGCGAGGAAGAGGAAAAACUCGUAUCGAAAGAUAUAGUGAAAAUAAGUAACGAAUUACCAAGAAAUACACUGGCGAGAAAAGGUUGUAGAAAUUGUAUAUAGUACCCGUACCGCAAACCGACACAGGUAGAUGAGGAGAAGAUCCUAAGAUGAGCGAGAGAAGCAUUGUUAAGGAACUCGGCAAACUGACCCCGUAACUUAGGGAGAAGGGGUGCCAAGGUAAAACUUGGUCGCAGAGAAUAGUCCCAAGCAACUGUUUAACAAAAACAUAGGUUUCUGCUAAAUCGAAAGAUGAAGUAUAGGAGCUGACACCUGCCCAGUGCUGGAAGGUUAAGAGGAGAUGUUAGAGUAAUCGAAGCAUUGAAUUCAAGCCCCAGUGAACGGCGGCCGUAACUAUAACGGUCCUAAGGUAGCGAAAUUCCUUGUCAGGUAAGUUCUGACCCGCACGAAAGGUGUAAUGAUUUGGGAGCUGUCUCGACAAUGUACUCGGCGAAAUUGUAGUACUAGUGAAGAUGCUAGUUACCUGCGACAAGACAGAAAGACCCCAUGGAGCUUUACUGCAACUUGAUACUGGGUCUAGGUAAUUUAUGUACAGGAUAGGUGGGAGACUAUGAAACUUUGGCGCUAGCUGAAGUGGAGUCAUCCUUGGGAUACCACCCUUAAGUUACUUGGAUUCUAACCUGCCGUCAUAAACUGGCGGGGGGACAAUGUCAGGUGGGCAGUUUGACUGGGGCGGUCGCCUCCUAAAGAGUAACGGAGGCGCGCAAAGGUUUCCUCAGCGCGGACAGAAAUCGCGCGAAAGAGUGCAAAGGCAGAAGGAAGCUUAACUGAGAGACUGACAAGUCGACCAGAUACGAAAGUAGGUCUUAGUGAUCCGGUGGUUGUAAGUGGAAAUGCCAUCGCUCAACGGACAAAAGUUACCCUGGGGAUAACAGGCUUAUCUCCCCCAAGAGUUCACAUCGACGGGGAGGUUUGGCACCUCGAUGUCGGCUCAUCAC